GGGCGGGGGCGGGCGCGGUGGAGCCGCCCCGCUGGGAUCUUCCCGAUUUGAGACCUUUUUCCAAGUAGAAGAGCGGGGACGAGGGGCAACCGUAUCUCCUCUGCGUUGACGUGGCAGUCCCUACCUGCAGAAGCCGAUCUCUGCGGGCAGGGAAGCGUCAAAACAGCUUGGGAAAACUCCCCAGAUGCCCAGUGCUCGGAAAUAAAUCUUUACAGCAAGUCUGGGAUAGCUAAGUUUAGCCUCCCAGCCACAGCACUUACCUGGAUCCAUGUUUAUCAGCCAAGCACAGGGAGUGACAAAAGGAACACCUAUGGUUCAACAGGAAAAACAAGACGAGCCUUGGACUUUCUCUCCCCAAUUCGGGCCAAGGCGCUUGAAGGGCAGGAGCUGGCGUGAAGGUCCCUCUGAAGAGGAUCCUGCGCACCUGGAUCCCUUUGGCCCUCAGGGAGCCCCUCUGCCUGGCCUGGCAGAGGCACCGGGGCAUGGCCUGCAGUGGUGGCAGGGCAGGCGGGCAGGUGCGUGUGCAGAUCCACGGGCACAUGGCACUUAGACCCACACCGUGCUCAUGAGAGGCUCAAGCAACACACACAGGUGGAUGACACCCACACAAGCAGAAACAGAGGCAUAGAUUCGAAUUCAGUACACAUGCACACAUAGAGAAAGCACAACCACACACACCUACAACACACCUGCAGAGAGCCCCUGUCCCCGGGCCUGGCAGCAGAGCCUUACCUGAGAGCACAGAGCAAGGAGCCGAAGAAGUUGGAGUCUCUGUCUGCCCUCAGGUGUAUUUGUAUAGGGUGGGGAGGGGCGA